GAUGGACGCUGGCGGCGUGCCUAAUACAUGCAAGUCGAGCGAACAGAUAAGGAGCUUGCUCCUUUGACGUUAGCGGCGGACGGGUGAGUAACACGUGGGUAACCUACCUAUAAGACUGGGAUAACUUCGGGAAACCGGAGCUAAUACCGGAUAACAUUUGGAACCGCAUGGUUCUAAAGUGAAAGAUGGUUUUGCUAUCACUUAUAGAUGGACCCGCGCCGUAUUAGCUAGUUGGUAAGGUAACGGCUUACCAGGGCAACGAUACGUAGCCGACCUGAGAGGGUGAUCGGCCACACUGGAACUGAGACACGGUCCAGACUCCUACGGGAGGCAGCAGUAGGGAAUCUUCCGCAAUGGGCGAAAGCCUGACGGAGCAACGCCGCGUGAGUGAUGAAGGGUUUCGGCUCGUAAAACUCUGUUAUUAGGGAAGAACAAAUGUGUAAGUAACUGUGCACGUCUUGACGGUACCUAAUCAGAAAGCCACGGCUAACUACGUG
rnacentral:rRNA from 1 species